ensembl:lncRNA
GUGUGCUCCUUUGGGAGGUCACCUGUCAGGACUGGAACGUGGGGUACAAGGAGAGUGGUAGGGGAGAUUCAACUAGGUAACCUUAGAGUCCCUCCCAACUCUUAAUUCUAGGAUUCUUGGGAAAAAAUAAAUGCCAGUGGUGGACCUUCUUGUUCUGAAUAUGUUGAUCAAGUGGGUUCAACAGAGCUCUUAUAUCAAGCCCAGUUCCCCUUGCUAACACCCAAAGAGAGAAGUCUUGGUUGCUGAGGGUGGGAAGCAUAAGUCAAUAUGAAUCUCUGGCUUUUUCCAGGGACAAAGGCAGGUGAAGGAAAUGGAGCCAGUUUCCAAGUGUAUUAUUCAACUUAAUCAUCACAGUAACCCACUGGAUAGAUAGGAUUACCCUGUGUUCCAGAAGAGGACAUGAGGCCGCAGAGACAUCAAAACUCUUGCAUAUAGUUGCACAGCCAGCAAGUGGAGACCCCACGACACAGUCCUGGUCGGGGCCGUGACCUCCCACCCUACCUGCCUGCCUGGGUUGAGUGCUUAUCUCUUUGAAGACAUACGUGAGGAAGGCAUGAGCUUGCACAGCUUCAUACCCGAGUCCCUGCGCCUUUCUCUUUACACAUGAUGAUGUCUCCUCCCGUGUCUGUGUCCCCAUAGAGAGGGCAUUCUGAGCAGUGCUGAACCGACUUCCGGAGUGGAGCUUGCCUGGGGAGGGGGGACCGGGGAUUGUGAGUUUCAGGGCAGGUGUGGGAGCCAACCACGUGUGCUGUGGGAGGCUCGCUUUGUGAGGGAGGCCACUCCUCUUUGUUUCAGCCUCCCUGAGUGAAGUGAGGCUUCCUGGGGCCUGGGGAGUAUUAAUGACUCAUUGUUGGCGUCUUGGAGCCGGGUGAAGCGUUCUCUCGGUGUUCCCGUUGCAGGGUUAGACAUCAGCAACUCGUAGCGAGGUGUUUGGCUCCGGCUCACAAGUUGGAUCAUUUCUUUGAUCCCAGUUUUUCUCCGUGACUUGGCUCAGUUUCACAACUGGGUGGGAAAUGUCUCUGCCUCACUUUCUAGUUGUUGCUUUUCUUCUUUUUCCUCUUGGGUACGGCCAACGGCGGAGAGCUUUGAGAAAGGAGACACGGUCAGAGCAUGGAUUUCAGAUUGACGGUAACAGGGAGUCAUUGAAGAGCUGUAAGGAAAGGAGUUGUGUGAUCUGCCUCAACUUAUGGAAAGACCGCUUUGCUUCCUGUAUAGAGUGGGUUGGAGAGGACCAGGACUGGCUGUCGGGAGACCAGAGUCUAUUUCCGUAAUUCUGUGUGCCCAGAGGAGAGUGACCAGGUACGAAGGAGCUCGGUGUUGUUCCAGAGGCAGAGAGAAAAGACCCGGAGAGGCUUAAAGAGGAAGCCAGUGCUCGAGGACUCCAUCUGCUCUUCUGUGUCUUUCUUGCCAGCGGACAGUCAUCAGCCUCCAAGUGGAACACAUUGGUUCAUUCUCCCGUGGUCUCCUUACUGUCCCUUCUUUUCUUCCUCCAUCUUCUCUUCCUCUCCUACAUACUGUAGGAAGGAGCUAAAGGAAAUACAAACCUGAUCAAAUCUACUCCUUGCAUAAAACAUUCUCUCCUCUGUAAAACCUCUUUAGUAUACCAAAGAUAGUGGCUAAGAUCCUGGACUCUGUGAGUCAGACUGCCUGGGUUUGAAUCCCAUUGACUGGCUGAGUUAUCUUGGGCACAUUAUGUAAACUUUCUGUUUCUCAAUUCCCUCACCUAUAAAAUCAGAGAAGAAUAAUAAUACUGGGGCUUCCCAGGUAGUACCAGUGGUAAAGAACUUAAGAGACAUGGGUUCAAUUCCUGGGUCAAAAUAGGUAGGUGUAAUAAUAUACCUACUUCAUAGUGUUGUUAUAAGAAUUAAGUGAGUUAAUAUUUUUGAAGUGCUUAAAAAGUGCUUAGCACAUAGUAAGUAAGAGUUUGUUAAAUAAAAUAAACAUAAUUGCUUAGCUUGUCAUGGGGGCCUUUCAAAACCUGGCCCCUGUUGACCUCUCCAAGCUCAGGUUCUCAGUCCUUUGGUUCCUGGCAUUGCGCCUCCAGC